CCUACGGGGGGCUGCAGUGGGGAAUAUUGGACAAUGGGCGAAAGCCUGAUCCAGCCAUGCCGCGUGUGUGAAGAAGGCCUUCGGGUUGUAAAGCACUUUCAGUGGGGAAGAAAGCCUUGGGGCUAAUACCCUCGAGGAAGGACAUCACCCACAGAAGAAGCACCGGCUAACUCCGUGCCAGCAGCCGCGGUAAUACGGAGGGUGCGAGCGUUAAUCGGAAUUACUGGGCGUAAAGCGCGCGUAGGCGGUCUGAUAAGCCGGUUGUGAAAGCCCCGGGCUCAACCUGGGAACGGCAUCCGGAACUGUCAGGCUAGAGUGUUGGAGAGGAGGGUAGAAUUCCCGGUGUAGCGGGGAAAUGCGUAGAGAUCGGGAGGAAUACCGGUGGCGAAGGCGGCCUCCUGGACUAACACUGACGCUGAGGUGCGAAAGCGUGGGAAGCAAACAGGAUUAGAUACCCCGGUAGUC
rnacentral:rRNA from 1 species